AUGCUCGGCCUCGUCGGCCUCCUCCGCCCCACCUCGCCGUCGCCGUCAUCAUCGCGGCCACCGUCAUUUCCGUUGCUCGGCAGCACAUCAAGGAGGUCCGGUGUGGCCUGCUUUAUCCGUCCUGAGCACCAAACCGAGUCGGGGCGGCCCAUACGCUCUGCAUUGCCGCCGUCUCCUUGCCACGACCGCCGUCUCUCGUCGUCAAAUUCGACGCAUCCCGGUCACCCCGCGCUCGCUGACCUCAACCACAAACACCAGGAUGGUGGAGUCCAGGAGCCAGAUGCCAUCUUUGACGACUACUACUACCCCGAGGGUGCCUACUACUACACGGAGGCCGCCGACGACCAGGAGUAG
rnacentral:rRNA from 1 species